GACGAACGCUGGCGGCGUGCCUAAUACAUGCAAGUUGAGCGAUGAAGAUUGGUGCUUGCACCAAUUUGAAGAGCAGCGAACGGGUGAGUAACGCGUGGGGAAUCUGCCUUUGAGCGGGGGACAACAUUUGGAAACGAAUGCUAAUACCGCAUAACAACUUUAAACAUAAGUUUUAAGUUUGAAAGAUGCAAUUGCAUCACUCAAAGAUGAUCCCGCGUUGUAUUAGCUAGUUGGUGAGGUAAAGGCUCACCAAGGCGAUGAUACAUAGCCGACCUGAGUGGGUGAUCGGCCACAUUGGGACUGAGACACGGCCCAAACUCCUACGGGAGGCAGCAGUAGGGAAGCUUCGGCAAUGGACGAAAGUCUGACCGAGCGACGCCGCGUGAGUGAAGAAGGUUUUCGGAUCGUAAAACUCUGUUGGUAGAGAAGAACGUUGGUGAGAGUGGAAAGCUCAUCAAGUGACGGUAACUACCCAGAAAGGGACGGCUAACUACGUG
rnacentral:rRNA from 1 species